rnacentral:lncRNA from 1 species
AAAAUGACAUGAGCUCAAUUGCGCGUGCUCCCAUGAGAGUUAGUGCAUUUGGAUUACUCGACUGAACGCGUGAACAAAAAGGAGGUAUUUGGACAUAAAGGAUGGACUUUAUCAAACAAAACGUACAUGUAUUGUGUAACAUGAAGUCCUAUGAGUGUCAUCUGAUGAAGAUCAUCAAAGGGUUUGCAGAAUGUUGCGGUCACGGAGGGGAGGAAAGGGUGAAACACAGCGCUCUCUGGCCAACAGCAGAGGAAGAAGGUGGUUAGAAUCAGGUCUUUUGGCUCUGCUGAUCUUCCUCUGGGGAGGAAGGACGUUUCCAUGGCCAGAAAAUGUAAGACAUGUAAAACAGGAUCUACAAACCAGUAACCUACUCCAGGUUGACUCUCCACACCAAUGG